rnacentral:rRNA from 1 species
AUGCCUUAGUACGGCGAGUGAAGCGGCAAAAGCUCAAAUUUGAAAUCUGGCGUCUUCGACGUCCGAGUUGUAAUUUGAAGAAGGCAACUUUGUAGCUGGUCCUUGUCUAUGUUCCUUGGAACAGGACGUCAUAGAGGGUGAGAAUCCCGUGUGGCGAGGAUCCCAGUUAUUUGUAAAGUGCUUUCGACGAGUCGAGUUGUUUGGGAAUGCAGCUCUAAGUGGGUGGUAAAUUCCAUCUAAAGCUAAAUAUUGGCGAGAGACCGAUAGCGAACAAGUACAGUGAUGGAAAGAUGAAAAGAACUUUGAAAAGAGAGUGAAAAAGUACGUGAAAUUGUUGAAAGGGAAGGGCAUUUGAUCAGACAUGGCGUUUGCUUCGGCUUUCGCUGGGCCAGCAUCAGUUUUAGCGGUUGGAUAAAUCCUCGGGAAUGUGGCUCUGCUUCGGUAGAGUGUUAUAGCCCGUGGGAAUACAGCCAGCUGGGACUGAGGAUUGCGACUUUUGUCAAGGAUGCUGGCGUAAUGGUUAAAUGCCGCACGUCUUG